ACCGUGCAAAGGUAGCAUAAUCACUUGCCUAUUAAUUGUAGGCUAGAAUGAACGGAUAAACGAGAAUACACCUGUCUCCUUUAAGCCCAUAAAAAUUUAUCUUUAAGUGAAGAAGCUUAAAUAAAUAUGCAGGACAAGAAGACCCUAUAGAGCUUUACCUAAAAAUUACCAAAAAAGUAGUUAGCGGUUCGGUUGGGGCGACCAGGGGAUAUUAAUCACCCCUAAUUAUUAAGAUAAACUAAUCCUACCAAAGAUCCUUAUUCAAGAUCAAAGAAUCAAGCUACCUUAGGGAUAACAGGCUAAUCCCCUUAGAGAGCCCUUAUCGACAAGGGGGG
rnacentral:rRNA from 1 species